rnacentral:lncRNA from 1 species
CUAACCCUAACCUUUAUAUAUAUAUAUAUAUAUAUAUAUAUAUACCCCAAAACCUUGUGUUUUUGCCAGCUUUUAGGGAAUAAUAAAAAAUGAAACUUUAGUAUAAUAUUUCACAUCCUGGCUGGAUUCUCGCUUUUACGAAUCGGCUCGAGUGAGUUAUUAAGAAGAUUCGGUUCAAAAGAAUGAUUCCACGGCGAAUCGGACAUCACUAGAGGAGGGCAGAGAGGGAAAAAUCACAGCCACCGCCACACCAUGAUCCUCACCUCACAGCCCAAACACACUGGUGUGGAAAAAAACAACAGUCUUGAACAUUUCGGACCGAUUCUGAGGUGUGGUCUCGCCGUCGGUGUGUAAAAGGACCGUGUUUAUCUCUGUUUUUAAGCCGUCAGGGAGUGGAUCUGUCUCGGACGCCAUCUUUAGCAGCAGCAGUAGCCCGGGAGAGGGAAGAGCUGCUGGGCCACCGUUAACCAGCACCGGGCUGGAGGAGUUUCUCCAGCGGACACUCACGCUUGACAGCGAUCGAUAAGUUUGUCGGGACUGAUUUGGGGUCGGAAGGCGUGUUUUCUGUCCACUGGGUUUGUUGUUGUUGUGGUCGGAGGAGUUUUAUCGGGCUGGCUGCUCAUCCUGGCCUGUUGGGAGGGUGCAGCUAGGACGCAGGGCCUAAUCACUCGCAAGGUCAUACUCAGUGUUUAUAAAUACAAAGCGGUACAGCGCAGGCACGGGACAGCAUCUCUAAAGCGCUGCCCAGGGAGAAGGACUGAGUCAGAGUUGUGCUGCUAUUUGUCUGGCAAAUGAAGGGAACUCCCUGCUGCGACGGAGGAGUUUCCUAGACAUUCCUCUUAAUCUGAAUUUAAAGGAUGUUGUGAUGCUUGUUUAAGGAGAGGGGUAAGUUGUUUGAUAUCCUGACGAAUUCUUUCAGGCCAUUCGUAACUGGACAGUGUUUGUAGACAGAGUUAUUUGGUGUAGGACAGUAAUAGGAAUACCUACAGUGUGAAAACGUCACUGAAAUGAUAAUGAUUUGAUAAUAUUAUACAUAAACAAGCUGGGGUUUUUGGACCGAUAGAACUAUUUCCUUGAGUCUUACAUGUUUCCGGUGGCAGUAACAGUUCUGUUUUUCAGCUUUUCGCACAUUCCUGAAUAGCAACUCAGCAUUUCUCAAUUUGUGUGGCUCAGCUUUGCUUUGACUUUAGUAGAUUUGUUUGAACUUGUCAGUUUGUUGGAAAAUGAGAUAAAGUCCAAAGGAAAUGAGUGAAGGCGUUAAGAAUGUUGAUGUUGACUAU